AGGUUGAAUAUAGGGUUAAAUCAGUAUAAAUUUGAUUAACAUUCAAAUAAAUCCAGAUCAUACAUUCACAAUUGGAAUCAUGGCAUUAUGGUACACUGAUAUGUGUGUACCAUUUUACUGUUUUUUUGUUUGUGUUUUUUUUUUUUUGUUGUUGUUGCAUAACUAGGGAUCGUAUACAUACAAAAUGAGACAAAACAAUUUCUAAUUAGUUUCUAAUUAUAAGGUAUGACACGUUUUAAGGUAUGGUGGCCAAUACUGAUUUUAUUUGCAAUUUUCUUUCAGAUAUGGGACCCUAUUAUUCGGAGAACUGCAGAUUUUAUGAAGCUGUCUUUGACAGAAGAUUUGGUUUUCUCCAUCUGUGUUGCCACCAACCAUUAUGCUGAGAUGGUCAUAUCUAGGUGGAAGGGUUGCCAUAUACUUCCCAAGGAAGUUUGCAGCCUCUCACUGAAGAGGAACUGUACAGAUUUUUGUGCAUUAUCUUAUACACGCCUGCUGUGAAGUUCCAGUCGAUAGACAGAUAUUGGUCAACGCAUGCCCAUGUCGGAACAACUCAUUAUCAAGAAUUAUGUCUAGAAAUAGGUUUCAAGAGGUUGAAUAUAAGAACAUUUUUGUUAAAUAUGAUGCAAGUACAUUUAAAUAUAGUGAUUGAAAGUAAGUACUUGAACAUUCGUAUAUGUUGAACUUGGAGAGGAAAAAUGGUUAGUACUUUUUGAUAACAUUUGAUAAGGUGUUGUUGCUUAGCAACCAAAUAUAAUUGAAUAAAAAAAUAGAUUAUUUUUAGAUUAACAAUAAUUGAAAGAUCUUUGUUUUAAUGUUGCAAUACUUAUUCUAUUUAAUGGAACAUAAUGGCAAAACGUCAUAUUAUUAGAAAAUGAUGGACAAGUAUAUAAAGUACGAAGUUUCCAUUUGAUGACCUUUGACCUUAAUUCUCUUCAUCAUAUUUUUUGUUAAAAACCUUUUAAAAUGAUUAAGAUCUAUUUAAAGAUUAUAUUUUUAAAAUAAUGUGACAUUUACUAGUCAUCAUGGAUUGUAAUUACGUUUAAAUUGUGUCGAAUGGAUGCAGAAAGGCAAAUUAUGGUCAAAAUUGUACUAUGAGUGUUGUUACUUAGCAACCAAAAAUAAUUGUUUGUCAAUAAAAUUGAUUAGUUUGA